UCACGGAUCACCAAGGUUGCAUCUAAAAUUUUUCUAUAUAUCUAACUAAAUAAAGAUCAAAUCUUUAUCUAGAUUGUAGCAGAAUAUAGAUCAAAUCUUCAGAAUAUGUAUUCAAACCUUCGCGUAGGCCUAGAUCUGUAGGCCCUUUACUUCACGUGCACGUCAAACUCCACAGGAAAGCAGGAUGAAGCUUCGAAUCGAAGCACCUUCAUAAUGCCACCAAGGGAGGAAAGAGAGGCACUGAUGUGAUGCCUCAUACGAGCAAGGAGAUGCCCAAAAAGGAGGUCAUGGCAAGGAGGAGAA
rnacentral:lncRNA from 1 species